UAUGAAACAGGCUUGCUGCUUAAGGCUCAUCUAAUAUUGAGGAUGCUGUUUCAUUAAACACAUCCUAUAUGUACACUGAAAAAAGU